CGACGAGCGAGAGAGAGCUUGCUUUCUCGAGCGAGUGGCGAACGGGUGAGUAACGCGUGAGGAAUCUGCCUCAAAGAGGGGGACAACAGUUGGAAACGACUGCUAAUACCGCAUAAGCCCACGGUGCCGCAUGGCACAGAGGGAAAAGGAGUAAUCCGCUUUGAGAUGGCCUCGCGUCCGAUUAGCUAGUUGGUGAGGUAACGGCCCACCAAGGCGACGAUCGGUAGCCGGACUGAGAGGUUGAACGGCCACAUUGGGACUGAGACACGGCCCAGACUCCUACGGGAGGCAGCAGUGGGGAAUAUUGCACAAUGGGGGAAACCCUGAUGCAGCGACGCCGCGUGGAGGAAGAAGGUCUUCGGAUUGUAAACUCCUGUUGUUGGGGAAGAUAAUGACGGUACCCAACAAGGAAGUGACGGCUAACUACGUGCCAGCAGCCGCGGUAAAACGUAGGUCACAAGCGUUGUCCGGAAUUACUGGGUGUAAAGGGAGCGCAGGCGGGAAGACAAGUUGGAAGUGAAAUCUAUGGGCUCAACCCAUAAACUGCUUUCAAAACUGUUUUUCUUGAGUAGUGCAGAGGUAGGCGGAAUUCCCGGUGUAGCGGUGGAAUGCGUAGAUAUCGGGAGGAACACCAGUGGCGAAAGCGGCCUACUGGGCACCAACUGACGCUGAGGCUCGAAAGUGUGGGUAGCAAACAGGAUUAAAUACCCUGGUAGU
rnacentral:rRNA from 1 species